AGAGUUUGAUCCUGGCUCAGGAUGAACGCUAGCUACAGGCUUAACACAUGCAAGUCGAGGGGCAGCAUGAACUUAGCUUGCUAAGUUUGAUGGCGACCGGCGCACGGGUGAGUAACACGUAUCCAACCUGCCGAUGACUCGGGGAUAGCCUUUCGAAAGAAAGAUUAAUACCCGAUGGCAUAGUUCUUCCGCAUGGUAGAACUAUUAAAGAAUUUCGGUCAUCGAUGGGGAUGCGUUCCAUUAGGUUGUUGGCGGGGUAACGGCCCACCAAGCCUUCGAUGGAUAGGGGUUCUGAGAGGAAGGUCCCCCACAUUGGAACUGAGACACGGUCCAAACUCCUACGGGAGGCAGCAGUGAGGAAUAUUGGUCAAUGGACGAGAGUCUGAACCAGCCAAGUAGCGUGAAGGAUGACUGCCCUAUGGGUUGUAAACUUCUUUUAUACGGGAAUAAAGUGAGGCACGUGUGCCUUUUUGUAUGUACCGUAUGAAUAAGGAUCGGCUAACUCCGUGCCAGCAGCCGCGGUAAUACGGAGGAUCCGAGCGUUAUCCGGAUUUAUUGGGUUUAAAGGGAGCGUAGGCGGACGCUUAAGUCAGUUGUGAAAGUUUGCGGCUCAACCGUAAAAUUGCAGUUGAUACUGGGUGUCUUGAGUACAGUAGAGGCAGGCGGAAUUCGUGGUGUAGCGGUGAAAUGCUUAGAUAUCACGAAGAACUCCGAUUGCGAAGGCAGCCUGCUGGACUGUAACUGACGCUGAUGCUCGAAAGUGUGGGUAUCAAACAGGAUUAGAUACCCUGGUAGUCCACACAGUAAACGAUGAAUACUCGCUGUUUGCGAUAUACAGUAAGCGGCCAAGCGAAAGCGUUAAGUAUUCCACCUGGGGAGUACGCCGGCAACGGUGAAACUCAGAGGAAUUGACGGGGGCCCGCACAAGCGGAGGAACAUGUGGUUUAAUUCGAUGAUACGCGAGGAACCUUACCCGGGCUUAAAUUGCAACAGAAUAUAUUGGAAACAGUAUAGCCGUAAGGCUGUUGUGAAGGUGCUGCAUGGUUGUCGUCAGCUCGUGCCGUGAGGUGUCGGCUUAAGUGCCAUAACGAGCGCAACCCUUAUCUUUAGUUACUAACAGGUUAUGCUGAGGACUCUAGAGAGACUGCCGUCGUAAGAUGUGAGGAAGGUGGGGAUGACGUCAAAUCAGCACGGCCCUUACGUCCGGGGCUACACACGUGUUACAAUGGGGGGUACAGAAGGCAGCUACACGGCGACGUGGUGCUAAUCCCGAAAGCCUCUCUCAGUUCGGAUUGGAGUCUGCAACCCGACUCCAUGAAGCUGGAUUCGCUAGUAAUCGCGCAUCAGCCACGGCGCGGUGAAUACGUUCCCGGGCCUUGCACUCACCGCCCGUCAAG
rnacentral:rRNA from 1 species